AAUACGUAGGGGGCAAGCGUUGUCCGGAUUUAUGGGGCGUAAAGCGAGCGCAGGCGGUUUCUUAAAGUCUGAUGUGAAAGCCCCCGGCUCAACCGGGGAGGGUCAUUGGAAACUGGGAGACUUGAGUGCAGAAGAGGAGAGUGGAAUUCCAUGUGUAGCGGUGAAAUGCGUAGAUAUAUGGAGGAACACCAGUGGCGAAGGCGGCUCUCUGGUCUGUAACUGACGCUGAGGCUCGAAAGCGUGGGGAGCAAACAGGAUUAGAUACCCUGGUAGUCCACGCCGUAAACGAUGAGUGCUAAGUGUUGGAGGGUUUCCGCCCUUCAGUGCUGCAGCUAACGCAUUAAGCACUCCGCCUGGGGAGUACGACCGCAAGGUUGAAACUCAAAGGAAUUGACGGGGGCCCGCACAAGCGGUGGAGCAUGUGGUUUAAUUCGAAGCAACGCGAAGAACCUUACCAGGUCUUGACAUCCUUUGACCACUCUAGAGAUAGAGCUUCCCCUUCGGGGGCAAAGUGACAGGUGGUGCAUGGUUGUCGUCAGCUCGUGUCGUGAGAUGUUGGGUUAAGUCCCGCAACGAGCGCAACCCUUAUUGUUAGUUGCCAUCAUUUAGUUGGGCACUCUAGCAAGACUGCCGGUGACAAACCGGAGGAAGGUGGGGAUGACGUCAAAUCAUCAUGCCCCUUAUGACCUGGGCUACACACGUGCUACAAUGGGAAGUACAACGAGUCGCGAAGUCGCGAGGCUAAGCUAAUCUCUUAAAGCUUCUCUCAGUUCGGAUUGUAGGCUGCAACUCGCCUACAUGAAGCCGGAAUCGCUAGUAAUCGCGGAUCAGCACGCCGCGGUGAAUACGUUCCCGGGCCUUGUACACACCGCCCGUCACACCACGAGAGUUUGUAACACCCGAAGUCGGUGAGGUAACCUUUGGAGCCAGCCGCCUAAGGGUGAUAGAGGGUGG
rnacentral:rRNA from 1 species